GAUACGGCGGCCAUGACACCCAAGGUGAGAGCGGAGGGAGGGGCACCCAGAGGGGGUGGGACUUCCUGUCCACCGCCCCAUCUGUCCGUCACCCUCCCGCCCCGCCCCUUCCCGCUGUGACUCAGUUUCCUCCGCAGGCGGCCUCGCCCCUACGACGCACGACGACGCCCAGGGAAACACGGUCGCGCGCAUCGUCUCCCCGAUCGUCUCGGUCGUCGUGGUCGCGAUCGUAGGCGCUGGCGUCAGCUACUUCCGGUCCGGGCAGCGUCGGGGGUGCCUGAGGCAUGGGGACCCUGAGGCCAUCUGACGACGUCACCCACGGCGACGACACGGGCGAAGCAAUGACGUCACCCGACCCAAUGUGACCCCCUGACCCCGAUGUCGAUGCCGGGGCGUGAAUAAAGGAUAAGCUCGCUCGCGAGCCAUUCA